CCGGCUCCCCCUCCACCGCUGCCAGCAGGUCAUAGGGCACGCGGAGUCCGCGCCGUCGCACUAGCCCCCGAGGCCGCCUACGCCAUUUUGAAUAAGGUCACCACCCGGAGUCCGUGAGAGAAAGAACGUGGGGAGGAGGCGCCCUCCGGGUCCCGCAGGGAGAGAGUGUCCGCUGUAGUAACCGCGCUGCACAGCCCUGGUUGCUUAAUCACUUAAAUGGAUGAUUUAUUCAGUUAUUCGUGGCAUUACAGUUAUUCUCUGUAGUGCCACGGUACUUUGACACCCAUCGCCUGACUUCUCGCGCUUACACGGAAUGGCAUGUAUCAAUACGAUCGUUCCCAUUUUGUGGUGGAGAAAAUCGAGGCUACAAAAGGCAAAAUGGUUGCUCAGCAUCAUCCAGCCUGACGGGCCUGUGGACAGCCUGAGCUGAAAGGGACGAAGUUUGCGCCCAGGCUUUUAUUUGCAAUAUACGGCCCACCGGGAGUCCCGUUUUCGGUGCUUGGGACACGGGACUCAGCCCCGUGUCCUCUCCAGCUCUCUUGAGGAAAGUGGGCACUUAACUACAACCAGUGUGGCAACCGCUGACCUGCUGUCUGUCUCUGUGAAUAUUUGCAUUUCCAUACAGUAUGUACUCUGUUUGGCUGGACUUCUUUCCCUCAGCGUAUGUAUUUUGAGAUUCAUCCACGUCCUAUGUAUGUCCGCUGCUGUCACUGCUGAGUAGGAUGCCAUUGCGUGGAAGCACCUCGGCUUGUUUUCCCAUGGGACAGGCAUGGCAAGGUGAGCAGGCAUGGCAGACACUUCUCACAUGUUGCAUUAGCUCAAUAUGUUGUUCUGAGAACUGGAAAAACAUUUUAAAAGCAAGAAUACAAUGUACAAUAUAUUGAAAUUGCAUCUUUUGCAACUGUUUGAAUUCACAUAUUUUUACAUGUUAACUUAAAAGUGUGUGGGAGCAGGGCUGGCUUCUGCAGAUGCCUGCAGCCUGCACAGCCACAUGGCCCUGUGCUCAGAAGGGCUCUGAGCUUUGCAUGAAGGCGGCUGCUGCCUUCUUGAAGUUCUUAGUCAUGUUCGAGCAAGGGGCCUACACUUCCAUUUUGCACUGGGCACUACAGUUUUUUUAAUGGCCUUUCCUCUGUGCAUGUGUGCCCUCUUCCCCGAUCUCUGGGCACUAAUUUAUGUAGCUGCAUAAGAGGGCAUGUAGUUUUUUAAAUUGAUUUUACAGGGCAUGCAGUCAAGCAUUUGAAGGCCACUGGCCUUAACUCUCAGGUCUGUGAGGGCUGGGCUUGGAACACAAAAUCCAUGGUGGUUUGCCAGUUCUUCUACUUUCUACCCUGUGAUUCAUGCUCCACUGCUACCCCAAGGCCAGAGGUACACAACUAACUACAAGUACUCCUAGUUACUGUGCUUGAUGGUCUUGGGCCUCACAGGUGUUGGGGUUUACAAACUGCAGACAGCACCCACCGCCAGCAGAAAGAUGAUUUGCUUUAUUGCGGGGGUCUGGAACCAAACCCACAGUACUGUCCAGCUUCGAGCUAUGCCUGCAGUUGUUUGAGUGGAGAGGAAGAAAGGGGAAAUUAUAAUGGCAAUGUGAGCUAAAUAACUGUUUUAGCAUAGUUUCCCAUUCGCACGGGUGAUGUGGGUGCCCAUGGGCCACACACACAGGUGCGCUGCAGACAGCUCCCAUUCAGUGGGCGAGCCCCUCCCAGUGCACCACCCUUGUCCAGGCCAGCCUCUGGGAAGAAUUGGUUCCACCAGAGGAAGGAAGAUCCAGGGUUCUUUGAGUCCUGAAGUUGGGCCUCAGCCUAACUAAGGACUUUCUUAACACUUUCUGAGAGAGGCAACCACUUCUGUCCCCCUCUCUAAACUUGAGAAUGGCCUUGCACCUUUGGGCAGGAGGGCAUGGGGCAGACUCUCCCCACCUCCUGGGGAGAGGGAAGUUUAGAGGACAUGAAAUGAUGCUGGAGAGGAGGAGAGCUGGGGU